rnacentral:lncRNA from 1 species
CCUACAUCUGGAGGAGAGACGGAAACUCCUGCAGUUUUCUCUCUGCUCCAGCUGCGGAGGCAAAAGCCAGCAGCCAUUGCAAAGGAGGGAAUGAGUCAUCCCCAUGGCGCACCUUCGCUUUUUGCCCGCUCCAUUGCCCCUUCACAGGCAGCAGUGAGAUGGCAUUCGGUGACCUGGUAUAUGGGAGGCAGCCCCAGUCAAUUUAUUGCGCCUGCAAAACAUUUUGCAUUACAAAACACUCCGGUUGGAAACGUUAAACCGAAACCUAUCUUUAUACGUUCGUACAUACAGAACAGUCCCGGGAGGAAGAGCAGCAGGAAUAUAAAGAUAAACACAGGAACAGUCACCUUUGUCUGGAGAAGCGACGGUUAUUUUAACAGCACACGGCUAUCAAUGAACUUGCAGCUCUGGGGAGAGAAACGAAUAAAUGGCUUUUAUUUACAAGAGGCAGGAGACGUUGUAAAAGUGGGUUUAUAACUAGGCUACUAGGUUUAAUGCCUAGGUCCUGAAGUAUCUCCUUCCAAUAAAAGAGCAAUUGCUUAAAUCACUGUUUGUUGCCAAGGUCUGAAUCCUACAGGAAUACGUAGAAGGAAGGCCUUUUGUAUCCUGGAGGCAAAGACCUUAUACCCUGCUCACUGAGCUGGAAAACAUGGUGAGAAGUGCCUGGCAUUUCACUACCUUUGGUCAAACAUCCCAGAACAUGAUUGGCUAUGAAAUGAGUCUCUUCAUGUUAUGUCAAGCUUCUGUCCUCCACAUUAUCUUGGUAACUGGCCAGCCAACUGCUCAGAUCCUGCCCUUGUUAGCAUCCCGACUUCUGCUGCUUUUGCUGUCCUACAUAUUGCCUCUUUAGAUUUUGAUCUUGCACCUAGUCAGAGCAUUUGUCCCUCUCGCUCAGUACAGUUGACACUAACUGGCAGCUGCCCUCCAGGGAGGAGGAUGAGGAAGAGGAUGCUCAGUGGGGAGAGCAUGAGACUCUUAAUCUCACAGUCGUGGGUUUGAGCCAAUUUUGGGCAAAAGAUUCAUGCAUUGCUGGGGGUUGGACUAGAUGGUGCUGACCUUUAAAGCCCUAAAUGGCCUCAGUCCAGUAUAUCUGAAAGAGCAUCUCCACCCCCAUCAUUCUGCCCGGACACUGAGGUCCAGUGCCGAGGGCCUUUUGGCGGUUCCCUCGCUGUGAGAAGCCAAGUUACAGGGAACCAGGCAGAGGGCCUUUUCGGUAGUGGCACCCGCCCUGUGGAACACCCUCCCACCAGAUGUCAAAGAGAAAAACAACUGCCAGACUUUUAGAAGACAUCUGAAGGCAGCCCUGCUUAGGGAAGCUUUUAAUGUUUAAUAGAUUAUUGUAUUUUAAUAUUUUGUUGGAAGCCGCCCAGAGUGGCUGAGGAAACCCAGCCAGAUGGACGGGGUUUAAAUAAUAAAUUAUUAUUAUUAUUAUUAUUAUUAUUAUUAUUAUUAUUAUUACCCUUCUGGUCCCUUCCAGCUCUACAACGCUAUGAUUCUAUGAUGAUUUAAUGCAUGUAUAUCCCAUCCCCCCCCCCAAUGAUCUCAAGCUGAUGUAUAUCUUUCUUCCCCUCGUCUUUUAAUAUCCACAACACCCCAGUGAGGUAGGUUAAGCUGAGAGGUGGCCACUGACCCAAGGUCACCCAGUGAGCUUCAUGGCUGAGUGGGGAAUUGAACUCUCUUCUCCUAGGUCCUGGUCUCAGCUGUGAACACACAUCAGCGGGAGAAUUUAAUUAUCCUGCACAAAGAGAGAUCUAGAUGGAAGUGUACAGCUCAGAAUAAAACUCUGAGUCAGGGCUUGAUCGGUCUCACUAUCCCUCCUAGUAAUUACAGCUACUUGUUUUACUCUCCUUUUUCUGUUUUUGGUCUCACGCUGUAAUUAUUCCAGUUAGCAACUAUUAGCAACUACUUGCAUCAGUGGCAAUAUAUAGAAUGCUUCAAAUAGUCCUGAUACCCUGUUUUUGGGAUGAGGAACCUCAGACUGAGGAGCCAGAUGUGGUCUCUCUUAUCUGGCCUCAGAAAUUCCCCCCUCUCACUUUAGGCCACAUCCAUCACCAGCCCUGGUUUGUCCCCUGUUCCCCUUGAGAAUUUCUGCCUCACUGUAAUGUGCCAGGAUGGAAGAUGGAUGUGUGAGUGUAGAAACUAGCCUACCGAAUGUGAUAAAAAUCGCAUUUGUGCACUAAUUCUAAAAAGGCCUAUUAUUGCCCAAGCUGUAUGAAUCAAUAAUGUAUUGAAGGCGGGUCUUUUAGAUUAUAAUUGCUAUUAGUAUUCCCUUUUCCAUUAGUAGAUUAAAAAAAAAAACUCAGCUUGUGCUCAUUCUUCCUUUCAGUGGCUUCCACCAGAGCUCAACAGUAAGACUAAUGGAUUCAUGGGCACAAUUAUUUUUGCCGUCCCUGAAAUUACAUCAGGGAUGGGGAACCUCCCAUCAACUCCAGCCAGAGUUGGCCAGAGAGGAUGGCAGUAGUAGUUCAGUAGAAGACCACAGGUUCCCCACAAAGAACCACCUGUUGAGAAAGACAGACAGAAACAGAGAGAUAGAGAGAGUCACCAUAUGCUUCUGCUGUCAGCUCCAGAAAAUCAACAUUUGAUAUCUAAAUUAUCAUGGAUAAUUCUUUACUAAAUUUAUGCUGGGCAAGAUUCUAAUGCCUUUUCUCCAGUAAUAUGUACAUCAGCAGAAACUUCCAUACCAAAUGAUCUGCCUCAAGUUUUGCUCUAGGUGAUUUAUAAGCUUUUAACGUGCAUUGACAUAUUCUGGGAGCCUGGCUACUUACAUAGAACCCAAAGCAGGAAGACAAAAAGGAAACUCAGAUUUUAAUACCAUCUGCAUUUGUAUAAACAGAUAUUUUGGAAAUAAUUACUGUAGAUCAAGAACAAACACAACACACUUAGCUCAGCUGGUUAGAGUAAAGUCACCAGAUUUUUUUCAAUGAAUCCGGGGACACUUUUCAACUUCCUACUAAAUAGAUGGAUUUUGUCAGGGGACUGAUUUGUAAAUCAGGGGACUGUCCCCGGGAAACAGGGACGUCUGGUAACCUUAGGUUAGAGCAUGGUGCUGAUAAUGCCAGGGUUGCGGGUUCAAUCCCCAGACGGGACUGCUGCAUUUUCCUGCAUUGUAGGAGGUUGGACUAGAUGAUCCUCAGGGUCCCUUCCAAGUAUGAUUUUAGGAAACAUCUUACCAUAGUGGGGAAGGCUGUGAUCAGGCAACCAGUGUGAAUUACAUGCUUUGCCUUUUGGGCAAAGUUGUUCAGCUUUUCUGGGGGAAACGUAUGGCAGCCCUAACGCUGUGUAAAGUGCAGUCCUUGUGCUAAUGGAAGGGUUGUAUUCAGUUAAGUUAUGCUGAGAGCAAACCCAUUGAAAUUAAUAUGCAUGCCCAAGUUAGUUUCGUUAACUUCAGUGGGUUUACUCUGAGUAAAUCUUAGCUGACUACCUGCCCAUGUCCCCACUGUGUUGCUUAAUUGCCUUCUUUGAAUUCUGCUGCUGCUCUCAGGGUGCAUAAUCUUAAGCCUACUUUAGAGGAAGUACUGUAAUUAAAUUUCUAGACUUCUCUGAGGAAGGAAGUACAGUAGGGCCUUGUGUGUGCCUGCUUUUCCUGGUUUAUUUCUUUGCUUACUACAUUUGUAUCCCUUUUUCUUCAACAGAGCAGAGGCGGAUUUAGGGGAGCAACGCAACCACGGACUAGAAUGGAAGGUGGGGACAACGACCAAAUUUUGGCACUGCUCAGGACACCACUGAAAUUUGAGACCCCAAGGUCUGCCAUUGCACAGAGCCCAAGGCAGCAUACGUUGUUCUCCUGCCACCCCAUAUUCUCCUCACAACCCUGUGAGGAAGAUUAGCCUGAGAAAGUAUGAGUGGCUCAAGGUCACCCAAUGAACCUUCAAAACAUUUCUGUUCUGCUCAACCUUUUAUAGAUUUCUUGUGUGUGCUGGUCCUUCAUUGAUGCUG